CAGAGGGGGAGGUGGGGCGGGCCCCACUGGAUGUGCCAGGGACCAGGACCAGGCCACGCUGGGCCAGAGCUGUCAUGGUUCAGGCCUUGCACACAGAACCACAGAACAUGCUCAACAAGCCCCCUAAGCUUAGGGGCACUGACCUACCCUGGGGACCAGUAAUCUUCAAGAUGAGAAAGCGGAGGCACAGCGGUGCCCUGAUACGGCCAAGAGAAGCACUGUGGGUAAGCAGGAGAGCUAGGAACAGACCCCAGCUGCCCUCGCUGGCGAAUGCACAGAACCAUUACAUCAUCCUACCCCGAGACCCAACCAAGAGGUACCCACACCCCGUGGCAGCCGGGGCUGAAGGCCUGGAGAUAGGAGAGGAGGCCCCACAUACUCCAGCACCCAAGGCAAUGAGAGAAACUGAGGCCCAGGAAGGUGCUAGGUCCGUGAAGAGGAAGGUGGGAAGGUA
rnacentral:lncRNA from 1 species